rnacentral:tRNA from 1 species
GGCUCGGUGGCGUAAAUGGUCAACGCGUCUGUCCAACUCACGGAAGGUCCUCAGUUCGAAUCUGAGCCGAGCCA